rnacentral:rRNA from 1 species
AAUAGAUACCCAGGUAGUCCACGCCGUAAACGAUGAGUGCUAAGUGUUGGAGGGUUUCCGCCCUUCAGUGCUGCAGCUAACGCAUUAAGCACUCCGCCUGGGGAGUACGGUCGCAAGACUGAAACUCAAAGGAAUUGACGGGGGCCCGCACAAGCGGUGGAGCAUGUGGUUUAAUUCGAAGGCAACGCGAAGAACCUUACCAGGUCUUGACAUCUCCUGACCGCCCUGGAGACAGGGUCUUCCCUUCGGGGACAGGAUGACAGGUGGUGCAUGGUUGUCGUCAGCUCGUGUCGUGAGAUGUUGGGUUAAGUCCCGCAACGAGCGCAACCCUUGGUUCUAGUUGCCAGCAUUCAGUUGGGCACUCUAGAGCGACUGCCGGCGACAAGUCGGAGGAAGGUGGGGAUGACGUCAAAUCAUCAUGCCCCUUAUGACCUGGGCUACACACGUGCUACAAUGGAUGGUACAAAGGGCAGCGAAGCGGCGACGCAUGAGCGAAUCCCAGAAAACCAUUCUCAGUUCGGU